rnacentral:misc_RNA from 1 species
GAUGAAGAACGUAGCGAAAUGCGAUAAGUAAUGUGAAUUGCAGAAUUCAGUGAAUCAUCGAAUCUUUGAACGCACAUUGCGCCCCUUGGUAUUCCGAGGGGCAUGCCUGUUCGAGCGUCAUUAUCACCCCUCAAGCUUUGCUUGGUGUUGGGGCCUGCUGUAAUAGGCAGCCCUUAAAAUCAGUGGCGGUGCUUCAAGGCCCUAAGCGUAGUAAUUCUCCUCGCUAUAGUGUCUAGUGGUUGCCAGCCAGAACCCCCCAAUUUUCAUGAUUGACCUCGGAUCAGGUAGGGAUACCCGCUGAACUUAAGCAUAUCAAUAAGCGGAGGA